rnacentral:rRNA from 1 species
GCUAAAAUUCUAGCCCCACUUCCCCCUAAUGAAACUACAAGAUCUUAAUUUUUUUUAAUUAAAACAUUCUAACAGUCCAGUAAAGGCGAUUGAAAAACUAAUAGGAGCAAUACAUAAAGUACCGCAAGGGAAAGAUGAAAUAUAAUGAAAUACUUCAAGCACAAAAAAGUAGAGAUUUAUCCUCGUACCUUUUGCAUCAUGGUUUAACUAGUCCAACCAAGCAAAAAGACUUUAAGUUUGACCUCCCGAAACUAAGCGAGCUACUUCAAGGCAGCCUAUCGAGCCAACCCGUCUCUGUUGCAAAAGAGUGGGAAGACCUUCAAGUAGAGGUGACAGACCUAACGAGCCUAGUGAUAGCUGGUUACUCAAGAAAAAGAUUUAGUCUAACCUAAAAUCAACUUAAUAAUGAAAAAUAAAAAUUUGAUUUUAGAGCCAUUCAAAUAAGGUACAGCCUAUUUGAAACAGGACACAACCUCGACUAACGGGUAAGCUAAUGAUCUUACACAACCAAGUGGGCCUAAAAGCAGCCACCUUUAAGAUAGCGUCAAAGCUUAAUUAUGUUAACAUUUAAUCUCUACAAUUUUCACCAACCCUUUAUUUAUAUUGAGUAAUUCUAUAUGCUUAUAGAACUUUUCAUGUUAAAACUAGUAACAAGAAGAAGACCUUCUCUUAAAUGCAAGCAUAAAUCAGGAAGGACACACCACUGAUGAUUAACACCUAUGAACAAAAAGUAGUAACCAAACAAGAAAACCCUACUUAUCCUUAUGUUAAUCUAACACAAGAGCAUUCCAAGAAAGAUUGAAAGAAAAAGAAGGAACUCGGCAAAUCUUAACCCCGCCUGUUUACCAAAAACAUCGCCUCUUGAAAAAAUAUAAGAGGUCCAGCCUGCCCAGUGACUAAGUUCAACGGCCGCGGUACCCUAACCGUGCAAAGGUAGCAUAAUC